rnacentral:rRNA from 1 species
UACGUAGGGGGCAAGCGUUGUCCGGAUUUAUUGGGCGUAAAGAGCUCGUAGGCGGUUUGGUAAGUCAGGUGUGAAAUCUCCACGCUCAACGUGGAGGGGCCACCUGAUACUGCCAUGACUGGAGUCCGGUAGAGGAGUGUGGAAUUCCCGGUGUAGCGGUGAAAUGCGCAGAUAUCUGGAGGAACACCGGUGGCGAAGGCGGCAUCCUGGACCGGUAUUGACACUGAGGCGCGAAAGCCAGGGGAGCAAACGGG